AAUAAGUAAUUUAAUAUAGAAAUCAUUUUUAAACUAAGCAUUUAUAAGUUUUUAUUACAAAAAUAUUUCAUAUUUUUUUUAUGAUUUUUACAUUGCAGAGGCUGUUAUGAUACUAACUAUUGCAUGAUAUCAUACUUGUAAGGACAUAAGAUUUUCCAAAAGAGAACAAUAAUCGACCUCACUCAAGAUGAAUGACAUCGAAGUCUGCGUAAGCGGCUACGUGCUCCGAUGUUGAGGAACAUCAGCAAGGGCGCUAGCCGCAGAAAGCAGUAGAGGUUAGGUAUGGCCAGGACGGUAUGUUCCAGGCAGUGGAGAGAAGUGUAUCCGGAGAGAGCACCCGGGCCGGGUAGGUAGGUAUACAUAGGUAGGUAGAGCGCAGAGGCAGACGAGAAGAGACGACCGCUUGAAAUCCCUUUCUCCUUCCCGCCUUUCCUGCCUGCUUCUCUCUACCGCCCGCCCGCCAUGCCACUACGAGCGAGCGAACGUACAGCUAGGCCGGCACAGUCCUGUAGCCCAUUUGGCAUUUCCCCAGCUAUAGCGGCGGUCCUGUAGCCCAUCGUUGUUAUCGUCCCGCAGCUGCAUAAAGUCGGCUCUGCCUCCUCUUACCCCUCUGACCCUCACCAUAGCUGUCGACCAACCGCCCGUCCACUCCCCUCCCCUCUUCUAUUUCGCUCACCUCACUGCUCAACAUCAACGUUUCUUCCUCUAUCUCUCUCUCUCUUCCCUUUCUCUCUCUAUUCUUCCUUCUCUUACCAGCCUGCCGACCUGAUCGUGUUGCCCUCCUUCCUCCCUCCACCCGUACCGAUGCUCCGACCAAUCCCCUUCCUUGUCGCCCCAUGAGCUCGUUGUCCGCCGUUCACUUCUCUCUCCCACAAGCCUGCCAGCCUGACGUUUCCCCCACUAUGUCCCUUACUACUACGAACAUAGCCUUAUUCUACAUCGUUACUGCUACUCACACAUAUACUACCACAUUGAUAGCACGUUUCUACAGCGACGCAACGGUGGCGCCGCCAGACAGGGACGCUUCGAAACGUUUUUACCCUCCUCUCUUCACCCGUCUGAUCCAAGUCCAUAUACCGCCGACGACGCCUGAUGCUGCCGUGCUGCGGUAUAUACUCGCGCACCGUCCUUGUCAUUCUAUCGAUUCCCUCCCUUCCUCCUUCCUCUCUCAUCCAACCUCUUCUCAUCCUACUCGUCAUGUGCCCCCUCUUUCGCUUUUCUCUCUGCGUCUCACUGGGCAGCCAACUUGCCUGUCUGCUUGCCUGGCUUGCCUGACUGCCUUGCUCGUUUACUUACUUGCUUGCAUGCUAGUCUGCCUGCUAGGUUGCUAGCCUGCUUGCUUGGCCCGCUUGCUUCGUUCAACCUCUAUGUCGGUAACCUUGGUGGAGAAUAACCCGCCGUUCAAUUCAAGGAAUUAUGACGGCCCCUCGAUUUUCUCUUUUUCUAUUUGCUAGCCCCUCUUUUUCGUUCUUUGUCACUAGUUUCCUUUCCUAUCUUUCUUUCUCUCUUGCUUCGAGAUGAGAAGAGAGUAAAGUACUUCUUUACUUUAGUCGUUGGUGCUCAUCUAUGCUGAUAUUUACGCGCCUAUGAGCCUCGCGUAGCCAGCGCCGCCAUUACGAAAACUUCAUGAUGUUCUUUGAUAUAGAAGCAAACCAAAGAUUAUCACAUAUAUAAUAUGAAAAGAUGGCUGCAUUGGCGUAACCAGUCAAUGAUCGAUCGGCUGGAAAUCUCUGCAACGAAACCAGGCAAAAUUAACUCUUGAGAUACUCUUCGUGUGUCUCACGGGCCCUUCAGUCACUUGAAAUUAUCGACGAGCGCGGGAAACCGGUGACUUCUGUAACGACUAUUAUCACCGAGGGUCUGGACUGGACGUCGAGCUAACAAGAGUAGGGACGACGCUCGAGGAGGGUACCGAGGUCGCGGUCGCGGUCGCGACUUCCGGUUCUUGAAGGCGCGUACGCGCCAGCUCGGAGACGCCGUGGGAACCGACUUCCUCCGCGAAGACACAGUCGUGGCGAGAACAGUCGAGUUGGACAAGUACUGGUGGCAUGGUUUCGAGAUUUCGGGCGCGCCAGCCGUCCUUGGCUUCGUCGUGCACGACGUCGGGACUCGUGACGGUCCUUGAGGCCGACGAAGGUUGCAGGAUUACAUGACGCCAAUGCUAAGAGCCUCUGAAACCUCCUGACACGCGAGAAUGCCGCGCGAAUACGCAAGGAGGAUCGUUCGCGGUCGCGAUCGUUCAGCGAAAAAAAUUUCGACCCCGACUCCGUUGGAUCGGAGACGAAGAUCAAUGGUGAAACUCGUGAAACUCGUGGGUGGCUGUGGAAAGGGAGAACGGGGGAUGAAUCAUCCGGAUCCCUUUGUCCUGCGUUCGGGGCGGUGAAACGCGCGGGAAACGUGGUAAAUUUCGCUCAUAUCCAUUUUGAUCUUUUGAAAAUCGAUCUUUAUGGAAUGAAUGGAACGAAAUUGCUUCGUUUUUUUUUCUUUUGUUCUUCGUGUAAAUAUCUGUUGUGUAUAUUUCGAUGAUGAUAAAAUAAGCGAUAUUGUAAAUUUUA